GAUGAACGCUGGCGGCGUGCCUAAUACAUGCAAGUCGAGCGAACAGACGAGGAGCUUGCUCCUCUGACGUUAGCGGCGGACGGGUGAGUAACACGUGGAUAACCUACCUAUAAGACUGGGAUAACUUCGGGAAACCGGAGCUAAUACCGGAUAAUAUAUUGAACCGCAUGGUUCAAUAGUGAAAGACGGUUUUGCUGUCACUUAUAGAUGGAUCCGCGCCGCAUUAGCUAGUUGGUAAGGUAACGGCUUGCCAAGGCGACGAUGCGUAGCCGACCUGAGAGGGUGAUCGGCCACACUGGAACUGAGACACGGUCCAGACUCCUACGGGAGGCAGCAGUAGGGAAUCUUCCGCAAUGGGCGAAAGCUUGACGGAGCAACGCCGCGUGAGUGAUGAAGGUCUUCGGAUCGUAAAACUCUGUUAUUAGGGAAGAACAAAUGUGUAAGUAACUAUGCACGUCUUGACGGUACCUAAUCAGAAAGCCACGGCUAACUACGUG
rnacentral:rRNA from 1 species